rnacentral:rRNA from 1 species
AAAGCUCUGUCUUUAGGGACGAUAAUGACGGUACCUAAGGAGGAAGCCACGGCUAACUACGUGCCAGCAGCCGCGGUAAUACGUAGGUGGCAAGCGUUGUCCGGAUUUACUGGGCGUAAAGGGAGCGUAGGUGGAUAUUUAAGUGGGAUGUGAAAUACUCGGGCUUAACUUGGGUGCUGCAUUCCAAACUGGAUAUCUAGAGUGCAGGAGAGGAAAGUAGAAUUCCUAGUGUAGCGGUGAAAUGCGUAGAGAUUAGGAAGAAUACCAGUGGCGAAGGCGACUUUCUGGACUGUAACUGACACUGAGGCUCGAAAGCGUGGGGAGCAAACAGGAUUAGAU